AGACAGGAGCACGUAGCACUGCCCUACGACAUGGAAAUCAGUAUAUAUUUGUUCACUGACUGAUGAAUGACAUCGACACCCAGCUGUCCACGUUCACCCUCAUUACAAAACCCAAGAAGGUCUGCUCUUUCCUGAAAGGAGCCACCGAGUUGUGGAACAUUGCCCCCACCUCUUCAAGGAGGUGCCCUGUGCCUAGAAGGGGAACCAGUGGAUUGUGUAUGUCAACCUUAAAAGCUUCGCCCUCAAGCUACCUGCGCCCUUCCUCCAGACGCUGGCUGGGUGAUCUAUUGCCAAAGGCUGUUAAGAGUUUUUCAGGACCUCUGCGCGAGCAUCCAACAUCCCUGAAGUGGCCUGAGCCGUCAAGCAAGACAAACGCUGGCCGGAAUUCAAGGGAAAUAGCGCACCUUCAGCCGGUUGGAGGGAGCGUCAGGCUCUGCCCAGGAAACUCACCAGGGAAGUACAGACCCUUACUGGCACCACUGCCUGCCACUGCGGCUCUAAGGACUCUCUGGGCCCUGGGCGCUAGCCCAUGUGGGCCACCACCGUGUAGCCAGGGGCAGUCACCACUAUUCUCAGCAACAUGGGGCAGGGUUUAAAAACUAUAUGGGGGAUCCCUGGGUGGCGCAGUGGUUUGGCGCCUGCCUUUGGCCCGGGGCGUGAUCCUGGAGACCCGGGAUCGAAUCCCACAUCGGGCUCCUGGUGCAUGGAGCCUGCUUCUCCCUCUGCCUGUGUCUCUGCCUCUCUCUGUGUGUGUGUGACUAUCAUAAAUAAAUAAAAAUUAAAAAAAAAAUAAAAAUAAAAA
rnacentral:lncRNA from 12 species